AUUGAACGCUGGCGGCAUGCCUUACACAUGCAAGUCGAACGGUAACGCGGGGCAACCUGGCGACGAGUGGCGAACGGGUGAGUAAUGUAUCGGAACGUGCCCAGUUGUGGGGGAUAACUGCUCGAAAGAGCAGCUAAUACCGCAUACGACCUGAGGGUGAAAGCGGGGGAUCGCAAGACCUCGCGCAAUUGGAGCGGCCGAUAGCAGAUUAGGUAGUUGGUGGGGUAAAGGCUCACCAAGGCAACGAUCUGUAGCUGGUCUGAGAGGACGACCAGCCACACUGGGACUGAGACACGGCCCAGACUCCUACGGGAGGCAGCAGUGGGGAAUUUUGGACAAUGGACGCAAGUCUGAUCCAGCCAUGCCGCGUGCGGGAAGAAGGCCUUCGGGUUGUAAACCGCUUUUGUCAGGGAAGAAACGCUCUGGGUUAAUACCUCGGGGUAAUGACGGUACCUGAAGAAUAAGCACCGGCUAACUACGUGCCAGCAGCCGCCGUAAAAC
rnacentral:rRNA from 1 species